AUAACGACUCUCGGCAACGGAUAUCUCGGCUCUCGCAUCGAUGAAGAACGUAGCGAAAUGCGAUACUUGGUGUGAAUUGCAGAAUCCCGUGAACCAUCGAGUCUUUGAACGCAAGUUGCGCCCGAAGCCAUUUGGUCGAGGGCACGUCUGCCUGGGCGUCACG
rnacentral:rRNA from 1 species